rnacentral:rRNA from 1 species
GUUGUAUGGUUAAGUGACUAAGCGUACACGGUGGAUGCCUUGGCAGUCAGAGGCGAUGAAGGACGUAUUAACUUGCGAUAAGCCCAGAGAAGGUAGUAAAAACCGGUGACUCUGGGAUUUCCGAAUGGGGAAACCCACUUACAUAAGUAAGUAUCGUGUUGUGAAUACAUAGCAGCACGAGGCGAACCGGGGGAACUGAAACAUCUAAGUACCCCGAGGAAGAGAAAUCAACCGAGAUUCCGGUAGUAGCGGCGAGCGAAACCGGAUUAGCCCUUAAGCUAGUUUUGCGUUAGGUGAAAGUUCUGGAAAGUUCUGCGAUACAGGGUGAUAGCCCCGUAACCGACAACGCAUUAUCAGUGAAAACGAGUAGGACGGGACACGUGUUAUCUUGUCUGAAUAUGGGGGGACCAUCCUCCAAGGCUAAAUACUCCUGACUGACCGAUAGUGAACCAGUACCGUGAGGGAAAGGCGAAAAGAACCCCUGUGAGGGGAGUGAAAUAGAACCUGAAACCGUGUACGUACAAGCAGUAGGAGCCCACUUGUUGGGUGACUGCGUACCUUUUGUAUAAUGGGUCAGCGACUUAAUUUUAGUAGCAAGGUUAACCGUUUAGGGGAGCCGUAGGGAAACCGAGUCUUAACUGGGCGUCAUAGUUGCUAGGAUUAGACCCGAAACCGAGUGAUCUAGCCAUGGGCAGGUUGAAGGUGAGGUAACACUUACUGGAGGACCGAACCGACUAAUGUUGAAAAAUUAGCGGAUGACUUGUGGCUAGGGGUGAAAGGCCAAUCAAACUCGGAGAUAGCUGGUUCUCCCCGAAAGCUAUUUAGGUAGCGCCUCGGACGAAUACUACUGGGGGUAGAGCACUGUUAAGGCUAGGGGGUCAUCCCGACUUACCAACCCUUUGCAAACUCCGAAUACCAGUAAGUACUAUCCGGGAGACACACGGCGGGUGCUAACGUCCGUCGUGAAGAGGGAAACAACCCAGACCGCCAGCUAAGGUCCCAAAGUUAUAGCUAAGUGGGAAACGAUGUGGGAAGGCUCAGACAGCCAGGAUGUUGGCUUAGAAGCAGCCAUCAUUUAAAGAAAGCGUAAUAGCUCACUGGUCGAGUCGGCCUGCGCGGAAGAUUUAACGGGGCUAAGCUAUACACCGAAGCUGCGGCAAUGUGCUUUUGCA